rnacentral:lncRNA from 1 species
GAUGGGGCUGAGACGGGUGCUGCCGUGGUGAGACUGCAGCUGAGAGAAGGGUGCUGCAGCACGAGCACUGACAUUGGUAAUUCUCUGGGAAAAAUAAACUCAUUCAAGGGCUUGGGAAGUGCUGAAGUUCUGGGAAGGCUCUCAGUGUCUUGCAGAGGGUUACACGGCAUAACCAGGGUGCGGCUGGAAAAGGAGAGCUGGGGGAAGGAAAUCAGCAGAGAGGAGGCAGGAGGGCACCCAGGGAAAGCUGAAAGUGGAAGCAGAAAUGUGGGAUUAAAGAGACAGAGGGGCAGAUCGGCUGCCUGGCACCCGUUCCUCCUCCUGCCUGUGGGCACAGAGGCCAGCUCACCACGGGUAACGUGUUUCACACCAGCUCCAGCAGCACCACCAGCCCAAAGCAACACAGCGUUAACAUCCAGGACUUCCCCAGGGGAAGGACCAUUUGUAGGCACAAAAACAGGAGUAGGCUUAGAGCAAACCCCUCCAAAAGCUGCAGAGAGCUGGGGCCAGGCUGACCUGUGUACGUACUGCAGGAGUUCACACCCUUGGCAAGAAAGAAAUAUUUCAGACCGAUGGGCAAAGAUCCAUGGCCUGCAGGGUUCCUGGUUAAAGUCCCUGUGGUCAGGAGCUGGCCACCUGCCCGGUGCCGAGUGCGAAGCUGAGUUCUCCUUUCUGUCACCAUCCUCCUCUCCACCCUCGGGUGCCUCGCCGGGGUCAGGCCGGGCAGUGCCUGGGGAGGGGCACUGGGUGCUCAGCUCUCGGUGCAGGGCUGCUGAGCGCCCAGCACUGUGCCAGCACGCUGACACGUGGGGCUGGUUUCCACCUCCCAACGCUGCACCAAAGUCGAGUCCACCUCAAGCACCAGCCCUCAGCAAUAGUGGCUUUAAUCCCCUAAUUAAUCCCUACGUCUUUGCUGAUGCCCAAGUCCCCUGUGCAGCCUCUGUCCUGCACGGGGCAAGCGCUGUCCCAGGCAGUUUCUGGGGGAAGCCCACCUGGGGACAACACUGCUGUGGUCUUCUUCUGCCUCCAGUUUGGUUUGUGGGCUGA